UCGGAUAUGGUGUAACGGCUAACAUUGCCGCCUUUCAGGAGUGCGCGGCAGCUCGGGGUUCGAUUCCCCGUAUCCGAA